GUCGAGCGAACCAAUGGGAGCUUGCUCCCUGAGRUUAGCGGCGGACGGGUGAGUAACACGUGGGUAACCUGCCUGUAAGAUUGGGAUAACUCCGGGAAACCGGAGCUAAUACCGGAUAACAUUUUGAACCGCAUGGUUCAAAGUUGAAAGACGGCUU
rnacentral:rRNA from 1 species